CUACGGAGGGUGCAAGCGUUGUUCGGAAUCACUGGGCGUAAAGGGCGCGCAGGCGGUUUGGUAAGUCAGAUGUGAAAGCCCAUGGCUCAACCAUGGAAGUGCAUUUGAAACUGUCAGACUUGAGUACUAGAGGGGAAAGUGGAAUUCCCGGUGUAGAGGUGAAAUUCGUAGAUAUCGGGAGGAAUACCGGUGGCGAAGGCGACUUUCUGGCUAGAUACUGACGCUGAGGCGCGAAAGCGUGGGGAGCAAACAGGAUUAGAAACCCGGGUAGUCC
rnacentral:rRNA from 1 species